CUAAAGCCGACCAGGCCGAGCCGUUGAGGAAUGCUGGGGUUUGGCGUCAGAAGGGAUGGGACCCGAGAGAAGGGUGCGAAGGAGACCCCAGUAGGGGUAGGACGUUGCAGGUAAAGAAGGGAAAGAAGAGGCCGAGAAGUCAAGGGCCAGACUGUGAAGGAGAAUAAAGGAGGUCAAAGAGAGGUCAUAUCUUCGUACCUCACUUCCUGACACAAACAAGUUUUUACUGUUGUCAGCAACAAAGCCCUAAUAUAGCUGCGGAAGAGAAAAACUGCAUUGCAUUUAGCCUCCUGCAAGCAUCAUCAACAGUUACCGGAGGAAUGUAAUUCCAGAAAGCUUUAAAGCUGGUGGUGAUGGUAAUUAUGUAUCAAAUGCCUGGUUCUAUUUCUGUUAUUAUUGUUUUGUCAUUUCUGUUCCACCCAAGAGCCGGCUGAACUCGCAGAGAGAAAUCCGGUUUUUCUUUUUGACUUUGUAAAAAUUCAUCAGCCCCGGUAGAAAACUUGCUCUUGGGGAAAAUAAAGUAGGAGCCACGAAAUGUCAUUUUAGCAGAGCGUGGGUUUUGCGACUGUGGGAAAGGAUUUAAGGACGCGCCUUCUGUUCGGUUUCCUCUGUAACGAGCAAAGGCUACACGCACGCACAGACGCCACAGCUCCCGGAUGCUGUGGCUCCCUUAUCUGGGCUUCUGCAGGCUCCAGAAGCCCCUUCGGGAUGCUGCGAGGGGCUCCCGGUGGGUGGUGGCAGGAACGCUGCGGCCGCCGCCGCCACUCCAGCCGCUGCCGCUGUUGUUGCUGCUGCAGUCACGUGGGAGCCCCUUUAAGUUUCCAUAGAGAGGCCUCUCCGGUGUCACAUGAUGGACAUGAUAUAAUGAAACAACAUUGUGGAGAGGAAAGCAUUAGGGGAGCCCACGGCUACAAAAACAAGUGAGUGAGAAGAGGUGGGAGGAAGAGAAACUACGCCACCUCCCCUGCAGCCAAGCCGCACGCAGCAGCCUGCGAGAAGUGGGCGACGCCGGGGCGGGGGGGGGGGGGAGGUGGGCAGGGAGACGGGGUCCUCAGCCCCGGCCCGGGGACCCCGCCGCCCACCGCGGAGAGAACAACUUUUCGCCGGCAGCCUCGGCCACCACCGCACCUGUCUCCGGAGCCUCCAUCGCUCCUCGUGACGAUCAAAGGGAAAUUCUAGAAGAAUAUGCUCUACAAAUAUACGUGCGCAUCAUUUUCCUCCUUGCGUCUCGCUCUAGAAGGAAAGAGAAAGGGAUUCAAGCGGCAGCGUGCAUUCCGCCCCAAGGGAGAAAAAUCAAGACGUUACACCCCACUCCUCCCGUUUUAAAUACUGAUUCAGCUCGGAGCUAGGCUGAAGGUUUCCACACCUGUGGAGCCCAAUAUGGGGCUUGAAGUCACGACCAUGAGAUCGAGACCUGAGAUGAGGUCAAGAUGCUUAACUGACUGAGCCACCCAGGCGCCCCUAAACAAAAUGUUCUGUUCUAUGUGUGCAUUAAUGUGGAGAAUAUAAAGAUAGCAAAGCUAAGAUUUCUACCUCAAAUAACUUAAAUACAGUUUUGGAAAUAGGUAUAUGUUUAUUUACAUGCAUUAAAAAAAUAGAAACAUUCCUUUGAUGGUGGACUUUGAAUUGAACCUAAAAGGAAGUGUUGAAUGUAGUUUCGUAGAGAGAACCAAGGACAUUUCAAGUGGUCAUUGCUCAGGCGAAAGUAGAAGCAAGAUUUUGCCGUAUCACGUGAGGUCAGUGAGAUCACCAGCCUCAGACUGAAGCAGUGUGUUUGUAUCCAGAAGUAAAGUGGGAGCGGUUGGUGGAAGGCCUUGAGUGGCCAGGGUUUGGAUUUGAGCCACUCAGAAGCAGAGGCCUCCUGAAUUGGUAAUCUAUUGCCGUGUAACAAAUUACCCCUAACGUUCAUGGCUUAGGGCGCCGGUAAACAUUUAUUAUCUCUAGCAGUUUCUGUGCAUGUGGGAUUUGGGAGCAGGAAGGACUGUUGCCUCCUUGGCAGUCCUUAGAAGUGAACCAGUAAAUUCAGCCCACAUUCAGGGCUAGGUUCCAUGCUUCAAGGGGAGGAGUGUUGGAGAACCUGGGAACACACUUGAAAGCCUGUGUUGGGAACAGAGGGGCAGUGGCAUGAUUUUGAAAAGGAAAAAGACCACGGCGUCUAGAGGAAGGUUCAUUGGUCGCGGCACCAAAGAUGAAGAAAGGGAGGAAUCCCGGGUAGAUGGGAGUGAAGUAAUCCAGCAGUAAGGCACAGGUGAGGGAGAAGCAGGACACAUGCGAGGGCCGAGAGGGGAUGGGGGGCGUCAAGGUGGCCCCAGGGCUUUCAGAGCUGCAUAAAGACCUGGUGCAGUAACCGGAAAGAGAAGCCAGUUUUAAGGGGAUUAGGGUACUUGUUUGGUUUUAGACACUCAAGGGGAAAUUCCUAAGCAGUUGAGAGUUGAUAGAACCAGGGCUCAUGUUGAGACGUCCAGCCGAAGGGGGAGAGUUCCGAUCUGUCACCGCAGACGUCAUGGUUGAAUUUCUCAAGGGAUGAGGACACAGAAAGGCCAGAGCAUUGGGACCCAGCCCUGGGGGGAGCCAUGGUUCGGAGUACGGUCAGCAAGAGGAGCCGGAUCUGCAGCAUUAGAGCGAGAGCACCGUCAAGCCUCCCUGGAAUGGUACUCAUCAGAUCUUGGACUGAGGGAUGAAGGAGGAUUUUACCUCACUUGUUUUCAGAGACUCUUUUAACUGCAUUUUAUUAAUGCUUUUGAAGAUUAGAAGAUAUUUUGCCUUCUGGAGUUUCUCUGACUUGCUUGAUGAUGAUUUAAGCUCAAAGCUGCCAGUUUAGGGGAGAUGAUCAAUAAGCCCUUGUAACAUCUGAGAGAAAAAUGGAAGAAAUGGAGGUACUUUCAGAUGGAACAGAGUGAGCCACUGAACAGACCGGCGUUUAAGUACCAGAAAGUUAAUGGCGCAGAAUACUGCUGACUGCGUGGUUCUCGUCUCCGUGCAUUUUCCAACCUUGAACCUGGGCAUGCUAGAGGCUGGAGACUCUGGACGCUCAUCUGAGCAGUUAUCUGCUGAUGGCCUGGUUCCUGAGGUAACAAGUGGGUGUCCCGGGCGUGUGUCUGCUAACAACAGCAGUGAUGCCACGUGGUGCCCAGAGGUCGCCGCCAUCUGUGCAGGGGACUCCUGGUCCUCGGGGCUUCUGAGAUGAACCGUGAACUCGGGGCGUCCUGCGAAGUGCAGGCAUUUUGGAGUGCCACAGCAGAUCUGGAUGUAAGCAUAAACACAGCUUUCAAAGUGAAAGCAGGGGCCCCGAGGAAGGAAUUACCCUCAUCUCAUUCCCGACCUGCUCACUGUGCUGGAAAACAAAUCCUGGAAGAUUCCAAAAUCUGUGUGUCUGCGAAUAAGAGGAGCUGGAGAAAGGUGGUGUUACCACUCACCACCUCUGCUUGCCUGUUCUCCUAGUGGAAUUCAAUCCCUUCCUUCCAGGACAAGUCCCGCCUGCACUUCGGGAUCCUUUGUGUCCUGCCCAGUGGUGCCGAUCUCGUGAACGAAUGAAUGCCUCCUGAGGAUUUCUGUGUCUGGAAAAUAUCUGUCAACAGAUUGCGGUUACAUCUCUGUAUGACAAAUGAGGAUGGUGCAUGAGGAAAGUCAAAAGGAGAAGCUUGAAGGUUGGUGAAUUCAUUUAAGCCAAGAAAACAGACUGGGCGAAUGGUGCCACCAGGAUUAGAGCCCAUCUUCACAAGGCGAUGCUGUCAUGAUAAAACCAAGGAAAGGUGGCCCAUGGCCUGGAUGCAUGAAGUAUCUUCUUGGAUUCUUAGAACACUAAGGGGAUGACAACAGUCUUCCUAAUAAAAGGAUACCGGGAACCAUAGUGGGAAGGAGAAAACCAGCAAAAAAUAAUCUGCCAAGGAAAAUUGAGAGUGGUUGAUGUAAUGAUGGGGGUGCUCAUCUGGGUGAUGGCCCCCACUGAACCCCACGUGCUGGUGUUCACACCCUCCCGUGGAGCCUGGGCUGGACCAAGUGACCGACUUCUCUUGGAUGGAAUAUGGCUAAGGAAAGUCCCCUGCCAUGUCAGGAACUGCCCAGUGGAGAGACCCAGGUAGAAAGGAACGGAUGUCUUCAGGCAGCAGCUCAUGAUGACCCGAGGCCUGCCUAGAGCCACAUGAGCUUGGAAAUGAAUCCUCUCUCGACAAGGGUGGGGAUGACUGCAGCUCUAGCCAACACCUUGACUGCAGCCCUGAGAGACCCUGAACUAGAGGACCCACAGAAAUUGUUACAUAAUACAUGCUUAUUACUUUUAACCACUACAUUCUGGGGUUACUUCUUAAUGCAGCAAUAGAUGACUGUUAUGGCUGGUAGUACUCCUAUCUAGGCUCAAACUUCCUGCUUAUUGUACCUAAUUUGUUUUUAGAUAAACAUGUUGUUGGAGAAUCACUUUAGAUUUACAGAAAAGUUGCACAGGUAAUAGAGUUGUCUUCUGUCCCUCAUCCAGUUUCCUCUAUUAUUAAUAUCUUAUGUAACCAUGGUACAUUUGUCAAUACUAAGAAACCAACAUUGGCACUUUACUGGUGACUGAAUUUCAGACUUUUUCACAUCUCACUAGUUUUUCCACUGAUGUCCUUUUUCUAUUCCAGGAUUGGUAUCAUAUUUUAAUAGCCUAGUAGAUACCGUGCCUCAUAACUGUGCAUGUGUGUGCUUGUGUGUAGAGAGAAGAAAUGCGUAUACGUUUGCUAAAAUCUGGGAGAUCUACUCACAGAUAAUAAAGGAAUAUUAGCAAGAUCUUUAAUUAGGGGUCUUGUUUAUAAUUACUAAGAAAAAUAACCAUUAUAUUAACUUAAUGAAAAAUGUCUAGGAGCAGCUGGGUGGCUCAGUUGGUUAAGCAUCUGACUCUUGGUUUCUGCUCGGGUCAUGGUCUCAGAGUUGUGAGAUUGAGCGCCGUGUCGGGCUCCAUGCUCAGUGGGGAGUGUGCUUGAGAUUCUCCCUCUCCGUCUCCCUCUGCCCCUCCCCCUGCUCGCAUGUAUGCACUUUCUAAAUAAAUAAAUAAAUAAAAAUCUUUUUUUUAAAGUCUAUUAUGUGAAAUCACUGGGGGGGAGGUGGGAGUGGCUACAAAUAAAAAAUGGUAAGACCCUAACAAGUCAGAAAUACUUCUAAAUGUCGUCUACCUUACUAAAAAGCAAUAAUGCUUUUUUAAUAAACUAAAACUUGGAUUUUCAUUUAAUAAGAAUAUCAAAUAUGAGAUUUGCCAGUGGUUAUUUUGCAUUAUCAUGUUGGUACAAAUUAAUUUUUAUAUAAUAUGUAAUGACUUAAUUUUCUUAUAAGUAUGUAAAUGAAAACUAUCCAUCUAAGAGAACUGAUUUCCUUUUCUCUUGAUUCCUAUGCAGUGUGAUCCUGGCCAAGUCACUUAGUCUUCUUGGGUUUUCCUUUAGUAUCAGUUUGUAUUACCAGAAUUUUACAACGAAUUAAUCAUGUACUACAAAUGCUUAAUCUUUGUAAACAUUUUGUAAAUAAAACUGUAAAAGGGUAAUAAAAAUUACUAUUCCCUGAUUGCUUAAACAUUAAGCUGCAUUAUUUUGCAGCAUUUCCAGGUAGUCCUUAACAAAUCAUAAAAAUAAAGCUUUCAGGAAAAAGUGAGUGAUGUUGUUUGAAAGAGAAAGGACAUCCUACUUCUACAUAUAAUCUCCUGGUUGAAUUUUUUAACAGGGUAUAUAAUGAGAAAAUCAGAUGACUUCAGCUAAGCUUUGUGUAGAUCCUAAAAAGCCGUUAAGCAAGACAGGACUUUAAAAUUAAUCUCCUUGGUGACCUACCAAAGAACCCAAAUAAGUCAUAAAAAAAUAAAUAAAUAAACAGAUUUGAACUCUGGAAAUUAAUGCACACAUGAGACCCCAAAUCUUAGUAGCCGAGGUUUGCUUCUAGGCUUGAUUUAAGGGGUCCAGCUCUUCUCCAUUGCCAGAAAGACUCACUGAUUUUCAAUAAUUGACUACUGAGAAAAACAGUAGAAAAGGUUGCAGAAGGAGAGGGUGCCAAAGGAGAGAGAAAUGAAAUAUAAUUGGGAAAAAGGGAGCAAAACACAAUGUAACCUCAUUACAACAUACUACUUCCCAGAACUCUGAAUUCAUUAAAUUUUCUGCAUUUCUCAACUUUGAAAUGAAAGUGUCAGAUUACAAGAAAGCAAGCUGUUAGGUUUACUGAAGAACUGCACGCAUAAAUAUUUCUAAUACUACAUUUGAGGUUAGUACAUAAUUCAUUUCUGCCUAUUGUGUCUGAAAUACAUAAUCUUGACUUAUUCAAAAUGAUGACUGAAUCGCAGGUACUGUGAAAACCAUAAAUCAUCAAAGGCUUCAGUUUGAUUCAUUGUCCUGUGUUUACUAAAACCAAAGAAUGUAUAAACAUGUAGAGACUUUGUAAACAAUUCUCAUUUAGGCAAAAAUGAAAUAGAAUUUGUAUGCUAGAUAGAAUCCAUUAUACUGUGUUCCUUAUGUUUCUUUAUUAUUGAGGUAAAAUUCACAUAACAUAAAAUUCACAUUUCAACCAUUUUAAAGUGUAUAAUUCAGUGGCUUUUAGGACAUUCAUGACCUUGUGCCACCAUCACAACUAAUUCCAGAACAUUUCCAUCACCCCCAAAAGAAGCCCCAUAGCCAUGAAGUAAACACCUCCUCAUUCUCCCCUCCUCCUCGCUCCUGGCACCCACUCAUCUGCUUUCUGUGCAUUUGCCUAUUCUAGACAUUCAUACAAUGGAAUCACACAAUAUGUGGCUUUUCGUGAUUGGAGUCUCACUUGGCAUAAUGUUGUCAAGGUUCAUCCAUGUUGUAGCAUGCGUCCGCACUUCAUUCCUUUUUAAGGCUGAAUCCUAUCCCGUUAUGUGGGUGGACCACAAUUUGUUCAUCCACACAUCUGUUUGAUGGGCAUUUGGGUUGUUCUUUACAUUUAUGUUUUUAUUUCUGUCACUGUCCUAUGUGCAUAGACCAACGAGUCAGCGGCACCGAGUCCUACAAUAAUGAAGGGCUGUCCUCUGCCCUCCCUCAAAGCAGCCCCUCUCAGCCCAUUUAUCGGUUUCUUUUGUUUCCUCCAUGCAAAGUGUUCUUACUGCUAUUUCUUGGUUUUGACUUUAUUUUACUCUCCUACUAUGGAAAUGAGGAUUUGGCUCUUAACACCACCACUCCUCUGCAUCCUACUCUGUCCACUUUAACGACUUAGUUACAGCAUGAUUUUUGGUUAAGUCAAGAAUUAGUGUUGGUAGUUCUAUCAGUCCUGUUGACCAUGUAGCGAUACAGUUUGACAUUUCCUUUUAAAACUUUUUAAAUUAUGCAAUUAGUAAUUUCCUUUUUUUUAAUUUGCUUAAUUUUCCAUGUACUUACUUAAUACCAGUUCUUUACUACAGAACUAUAAUGUCCAUUUCUGACUCCCAGUGCUGUUGAAAAGUCUGAGAAAACGCAGAUUUUUGGCUCUUUUUCUCCAGAAGUUUUAGACCAGUCUGUUUAUUCCUUGAGUUUAAAUGUCACAAUUACGUGCCAGGAUAGAGGGCGUCUUCAUUUAUUUGGCCAAGAGCUUAAUGUCCCUUUCAUUCUGGAGGCUUAUGUCUUUAAUUCUAGAAAAUAUCCCUCUGUUAUUUCUUAGAUAAUUCUCUUUCCUCACUCUUCUCUUUCUAGAACUCUUAUUUUUCAUACAUUGGCCCUCCCGGAAUAAUGCUGUGAUUUUUCCCAUUUGUUUCCUUUCCAGUUUUUCAUUGUUUUGAUCUUGUCCUACUUUCUGGGAAAAUUCCCCCUGCUAUUUCCAAAAUUUAACACUGAAUUCUGAUUUCUGCUAAUAUAUAUUUAACAUCUGAAAGGUGUUUCUUAGCAUUUUGUUUUGUUUUGAGGGCUCAGAAAUGUUUCUAAGGAUGUUAAAUCCUUUUUUUUUUUUUUCCUUUUUGAAGGUUUCUGGUCAUGACAUUAUCUGUUUCUUCUAGGUUCUUUGUGUGCCUGGUUUUAGUUUUGUCUUUCAUGUUAGAAGUUUGCUCAAAUGUCUGUAGAUUCUAGACUAUCCAUUUAUACUUACGGACUGGGCCUUAAAACUGUUGGAAACUCUGUCUACCUUGUCAGGACUUACCAACUCCUGGACCUCAUUUUAGGAUGUGGGGUAGGCAAAAUAAGGACCUCCCAGAGAUGCCCUCGUCUCAAUCCCCAGAACCUGUGGAAACAUG